AGUAAAAAUGAAACAUGUUGUACAGAAUCUUUUUUUUUUUCUUUUCAAUUUUAUCUUCUAAUAAUUAUUGUCCAUUUUUUUUUUUUCAAUUUU
rnacentral:ribozyme from 14 species